UUGGAUUGGUUAAUGAAUAACAUGAACAAAAUUUAAUAAAACACUAGACAUUUAAGAAUAAAAGAUAAUACAAUCAUUAUAGACAUAGCAGCUUUAAAUAUUUGAAGAAAACAAAGUUAUUAUAAAAAAAUAACUACAUUCAUACAAUUGUUUACACGAAGGGUAUAGCAGAUACACGUUUUUUUUUCUGCCGAAAUCUUUGUUACUACCAUUGACAUGAUAAUCUCAUAGGGUUCCUGUAAUGAAACAACCAACUGAAUGCAUCGGCAUCUACAUCAAUUAAUGAUAUAGUUUUCGGUAUAUUUGCCUAAAUCAUAUAGCUGUACUCAAACUUUGGUAACAAUGAUCAAUCGCAAAUUUGACCCUUGCAAGUUUGUGUGAGUUUUAUCUAGAGGGUCAAGUCUGCAAGAUUUAAACGUGAGAUGUACUUGGCUUCUGUUUAUUUUCGAUUGUAAAUAAAAAAAGGUUUACUUGAUAAAGAGUUAACGAAAAUCAAACAAUAUACUCACUGAAAUGAAAAUCAUGCAUUUAUAUAAUUAACUGUUCUUGUCAUUUAGUGUGUCAGAGGAAUUUUACGGAUUAGAAAAAUUCAGAGCAAAUGUGAGUUACGAUGGUGCUAUCAAUUACAACUUUCCUACAGUUAUAGAGGUACAAUGCCAAGUUGAUGUCACAAACUUUCCGUUCGAUAGGCAAAUGUGUCCAUUGCAAUUCGGAUCUUGGAUCUACACUGGAAACUUGUUGGAUCUAAACAGUGAAAACUCUCAUGCCGAUUUAUCCGCACUGAAAGAAAAUGUGGAAUGGGAAAUAUCUAAAGUACCUGCAGAAAAACACAUAAAAAAAUACUCAUGUUGCCCAGACCCCUUUGUUCAUGUGACAUACAACCUAUAUCUGAAAAGGAAGCCAAGAUAUUAUGAAGCUAACAUUAUAUUGCCAUCAAUAAUCAUUACACUUUUAGCAACACUUGGUUUUUUACUACCGGUGGAUUCUGGUGAAAAAGUAUCCCUAGAAGUAACAGUAAUGCUUUCAUUGACAGUUUUCCAGCUAUUGGUUGCUGACAGACUACCGCCAUCAGAUGAAGAUCGACCAUUAUUAGGAGAGUUUUUCACAUUUACUCUUAUACUGUGUGGUCUUUCGACCUUUGUCCAGGUGGCUGUUAUCAACAUUUAUCACCGUGGUGACAGAAAAAUGUCAGUCUGGAUGAACAAACUGUUUUUAAUACUUAGAAAAGCAACCCUGCUGAAUCAAACGGCACAUGACCACAACAACACACAAGCUGACAACUCCCCUGUAGAUCAUGUUCAAAAUAACACUAAAGAGUGGCAAACCCUAUCAAUCUGUAUCGACAGAGUUGGCUUGAUAUUGUUCAUAGUCAUACUUACCAUUGGAUGCAUUGUUAUUUUUGCUAAUUUUACUUAAACUUAAGAUAAAAUUGCUUUUUUGUUUAGGAUUUCUUAUUUUCAAAAUAAUUUCUAUAUCUAAAACAUAUUCGUAUCUUUUUUCAUUUCUUAUUGCUGUUUUUAGACGUUCUUAAAAUAUGCCUUUAUGAUAUACUUGAAAAUUUAAUAUUAACCCAUAUCUAUUUUAUUGUAGAAAUGAUUCUUAAAUGUAUUUCACGCAUUUUCAUUGUGUUAUUGUGCUUUGCUCUUUUUUUUUAUUCUUGUCUUUCAUAUUUGCUUAUGUGCUUUGUCUAUAAAGUGUAUUUAUGCCA